AUAGCAGGCCACAGGAAACUACAAGGCAACUUCUUCCCACAAAAAAUUGUACAUAUAAACGCCUGCAUCUUAUACAGCUCUCUAAUCAUAGCUGGGGAACAAACACUUCUCUCUGCUAUGCAGAAGAGAUAGUGGAGCGGAUUAUGCGUGAUCGUAUAAUCCGCUCCACUAUCCUGUUGCGCUAGAAAAUUUAGAUUUCUUAGAGUAUAUAAAAAAAAUCCUCUUCUGCAUAACACGAAUGAAGUACAGAUAAGAAUAUUGAUAGAUAGGUUAAUGAAGAGAAUAAUGCUAGUGCAUCUGAUAUCGCGAGAUUAAAAAGAUUGUAUCGUCGAAGAACAGUGGUUUGCCAUCGUCAUUGUUUCCACCUGGCAUUGUAAAUCUGGAUGCAAAUGUUAUCGUCGCACAAUAAGAGCAGCUACAACGAUGGCCGAUGAUUGACUGAAUACUUUUGGAGCCUCCCUAGUUUUGCAACAAUGGCAUAAAGAAGCCUCGACUGAAGCUGACAAUAUGCCAAGACGGGUAGUACCUGGAAAACACGACGAGCUACUCAAAGAAACACAACAAUGGCUGAAGGGCAGAUCAUUAUCAGCCGUUGUUGUAGCUGCUUAUAUUGUGGCCAUGAUAUAUGCAACCAGAUUUGCAAUCCAGGUGGAAACAAUGAGUGACAACAAGCCACUGUUCUUACACAAUGCAGUCUUUAUGUUCUUCGCCAUAUGAGAUGAAGUAGCAUUAUUAUCUUCAUAAGCCUCUGUAUUAAUUUUCUUAUCUCGUGUUUUGUAGAAGACGAUUUCUUUUAUGUUUUACCAAAUGUUUAAGCAAUAUGAGAAAUUUUAGGGUAUUUCUUGACCAAAA